UAGAAAAAAUUUAAAAGUACAUUCUGCCCUAUGAAUUCUUAAAUGGCUGCAGUAUUCUGACUGUGCAAAGGUAGCAUAAUAAUUAGUCUUUUAAUUGAAGACUUGUAUGAAUGAAUAAAUGAAAUAUUUAUUUUAUUAAUAAAAUUCUUAGAAUUUAAUUUUUAUGUAAAAAAGCUUAAUUUUUUUUCCGUGACGAUAAGACCCUAUAGAACUUCAAUUAUUUAUUUAAAAAUUUUUGAUUUAGUUUUUAAUCAACUUUUUAUAAAUAAUAAUUUUUAUUGGGGUGAUAAAUAAAUUUGACUUUAUUUUCUUUAUUCAUUAAAUUAUGAUUAUUAUGAUCCUUAUAUUUGGAUUUUAUGAUUAAGUUACCUUAGGGAUAACAGCGUUAUUUUAAUGGGGAGUUCAUAUCUAUAUUAAAGUUUGCGACCUCGAUGUUGAAUUAAGAUAAGAAUUUGGGGUAG
rnacentral:rRNA from 1 species